UAUGGGUCUCUAUGGGUCUCUAUGGGUCUCUGUGGGUCUCUAUGGGACUCUAUGUGGCUCAGUGUAUUGCUAAGUGUCUCUAUGCGUUUCUGUGGGUCCCUAUGGGUCACUAUGGGGCAGCUAUGUGUCCCUAUGGGUCUCUAUGGGGCAAUUAUAGGUCUCUAUGGGUCCCUAUUGGUCUCUAUGGGGUUUCUAUGGGUCCCUAUGGGGCUCAGUGUAUCACUAUGUGUUUCUAUGGGUCUCUAUGGGGCAAUUAUAGGUCAUUAUGGGUCUCUAUGGGUCCCUAUGGGGUCUCAAAGUGUCUCUAUGGGGUCCCUAUGGGUCCCUAUGGGUCUCUAUGGGGUCUCUAUGGGUCCCUUUGGGUCUCUAUGGGUCUCUAUGGGGCAUUAUGGGGUCUCUAUGGGUUCCUAUGUGUCCCUAUGGGUCCUUAUGGGUCUCUAUGGGUCCUUAUGGGGUCCCUAUGGGUCUCUAUAUGUCCCUAUGUGUCCCUAUGAAUCCCUAUGGGUCUCUAUGGGGUCUCUAUGGGUCUCUAUGUGUCUCUAUGGGUCCCUGUGGGUCCCUAUGGGUCCCUAUGGGUCUCUAUGGGGUCCCUAUGGGUCUCUAUGGGGUCCCUAUGGGUCUCUGUGGGUCCCUAUGGGUCUCUAUGGGUCCCUAUAGGUCUCUCUGGGUCUCUAUGUGUCCCUAUGGGUCCCUAUGGGAUCUCUAUGGGUCUCUAUGGGUCUCUAUGGGGUCUCUAUGGGUCUCUAUGUGUCCCUAUGGGUCCCUAUGUAUCCCUAUGUAUCCCCAUGUAUCUCUAUGGUUCCCCAUGUAUCCCUAUGGGUCCCUAUGGGUCUCAAUGUAUCGCAAUGGGGCUCAAUGUAUCCCUAUCUAUCUCUAUGGGUCUCUAUGGGGUCUCUAUGGGUCUCUAUGUGUCUCUAUGGGUCCCUAUGGGUCCCUAUGGGUCUCUAUGGGUCCCUAUGGGUCUCUAUGGGGUCCCUAUGGGUCUCUAUGGGGUCCCUAUGGGUCUCUAUGUGUCUCUAUGGGUCCCUAUGAGUCCCUAUGGGUCUCUAUGGGUCUCUAUGUGUCCCUAUGGGGUCUCUAUGUGUCUCUAUGGGUCCCUAUGGGUCUCUAUGUGUCUCUAUGGGUCCUUAUGGGUCCCUAUGGGUCCCGAUGGGUUCCUAUGGGUCCCUAUGGGUCUCUAUGGGUCCCUAUGUAUCCCUAUGUAUCUCUAUGGGUCUCUAUGGGGUCUCUAUGGGUCCCUAUGUGUCCCUAUGGGUCUCUAUGGGUCCCUAUGGGUCUCUAUGGGUCUCUAUGGGUCCCUAUGGGUCCCUAUAGGUCCCUAUGUAUCCCUAUGUAUCUCUAUGGGUCUCUAUGGGUCUCUAUGGGUUCCCCAUGUAUCUCAAUGUAUCUCUAUGGUACUGACGCGAUGAGCCGCACUCUGCCGUUAGGGCGCCCCCUGCCGUUGGCCGCCAGCAGCAGCAGUUCCGGUCGGCCGCCAUCUUGGUUCCGGGACGCGGCACCGACAGCAACGAACGACACGGGGUCACCGCUACGGGUCACCUGGGGGGGUCAAAGGCCCCCAUGCGCUGCCCGCCUCUCGCCUGCAUGAACUCCCCCUCGAUGACGGCGCAGCCGCUGAGCGCUCCGUACUCCCCGCUCUUGCAGGCACUGACGAAGUCGCCCCAUUUGGGUCCUCGGGGUUUCCUUUCAACCGCGUCUCAAAAUGGCGCCGGGGCGGACGGCCAGAUGGCGGCCGGGACAGGGGUGAGGCGGUUAGACACGCCCCCUCCAAUCUCUGACCAAUGGCCAGCGCCGUGCCAGUGUGACCCUUAGUCCGCCCCUUGGGCCAGUAGCAGCGCGGUGUGACCCUUAGUCCCGCCCCCUGACCAAUAGCAGCGCGGCACCGCUGUGACUCUAGUCCCGCCUUUGACCAAUUGGCAGGCGCGGCGUGAGUCUUAGUCCCGCCCUUGGACCAAUGGCAGCACAGCGCUUUUGUACAGAAGUCCCAUCAUCCAAUAGAAUCGCCGAGGCUGAUCUUUAGGCCUCCGCUUUCUCCGAUG
ensembl:lncRNA